rnacentral:lncRNA from 1 species
GUUUAUUUUUUUACCAAGAGGAGUAAACUAAGAAGACAGAUUCACACCCAAGAAAAGUCACCAAAUUCAUCUUCUUUUUUCGUUGAUUAUGUCGGCUUUACGGUAAUUCAGUAAUCACGAUCGGAGAACCUCACACGUCGAUUGUCACAAGUAUGCAAGCCAAGAACGAGAGUAAAUAAGAAGAACACGUCGAUUCUAACCUCACUCUCACUAUGCUUGUUGUUGGUUUGUUUGAAUAAUUUUUUCCAAUUUAUGUACUUCCAAUAAUAUGUAGGUAUAUAUUUCUUUUGUUUUUCAAAUUACAAUAAAAAAUGUUGGAUUGGUAUGAAGAAGUUGAAGAAUUUUUAGAGUUUAUUUCUUAUAUUGUAGAAGAAAAUCGCCCGGAAAGUAUACGAAAGCCAUGUGAUAAAAUUAUAUCAAAUCCAAUGGAAUUUUACAAUAUUGAAUUUCAUCAGCUGCAAUAACUUAAACAACAAAGAUUUUAUGCUACUUUAUAGGAAUAUAACCAGUUUUUAUGAAGUUGUCCAUUUUAAAUUACAGGUACAGACUUACGUUUGUUAUUCAGGCCCUUAUUACAUAAAUGAAUUGUAGCUCUUUCAUGUUCUAGAAGCGAGAUUAUGAAUGUUGUUGGUUGUUGGUGAACAACAAGGUCAACAGGGUCAAGUUAUGUUAGCUUAAUAUUUGAUCUAAGUGCAUUAAGAGGUAUCAUGAGAAAGAAUGAAAUUCCAGGAUUAUUAAUUGACAAUAGUAGAUAUGCAUGCAAAUACUAUCUAUUUACUUCAGUAUUACAGCCAGGUAUUUAUUGAUAAUUGGCCUAAAUAAAUAGUAGGUUAUUUGAUAGAUAAAUAUACUAAAAUCACAAUAAAGAUGCUUCUUCUUUUUGUAGUGCCUAUCUGUUUCGGAUGUUGACGACCAUCAUGACAAUCUAUACUUUGCACACUGCUGCUCUAAAAAGAUUUGUGGUUGUUGUGUUGAAGCACAUACGUAGAUUUUUCAGCCAGGAAAUCCUUUGCCUUCCUGGUCCCCGUUUUCCUUCUACUUAUCCUUGAAAGAUUAGUUGCAGCAGUCAAUAUAUUUUACUUUUCCUCAUGAUGUGACCGAGGUAUUCGAUUUUGGCUGUUUUUAUUGUGAUUAUUAGCUCUUUUUCUUUUUGCAUUCUCAGCAAAACACUCUGAUUAGUAAUGUGGUUAUUAUAAGAUAUCUUCAGGAUUCGAUGAUAAAGCCACAUUUCAAAAGCCUCAAUAUACUUGCAGGUGCCAUCUGUGAGAGUCCACAACUCAAGUCCAUACAACAGUACACUAAAGAUAUAACAUCAUAGUAACCUGAUUUUUAUGGGUAUCGACAAAUCAUGACAUUUGAAUAACUUAGCCAUUGCUUGAAAUGUAGAUCUUGCUUUCUCUAUCCUACAUUUGAUUUCUAUGGAAUGAUCCCAAUCUUCAUUGACGUUCGUACCAAGGUAAUGAUCAAGAAAAUAGAUACAAUAGUGCACAUGUAAGAACAAGAAAUGUUGCCAAAAAGCUAUUUGGAACCUGGAAAAAACAGUUUCCAUGUCUUCAAAAGGUCUACAAACCGAAUUAAAUACAUACCUUGCAAUAUGUGCUACAACAGUACCUUAUAAGUUAUAAUCUGGGUGCAAGAGAAAAUCAUGAUGGUGAUGAUGAUUUUGUAGAAAAUCUUGAUUUGUCAGUAAAUGGAAAUGUUAAUGAUGUGGAACAAUGUUUAAAUUUUAGGAGGCAUUUUUAUCGACAAUAUUUUGCAUGAGAAUGAGAAUACAUUAUUGAAUACUUGUAAUAUAUUAAAUGUUUUUUUUUAAUAUUUAAUGGGUCGUCUUUCUUUGGGAUUUUUUGCCUAUUAUUUCUCAAAUAUCAUGAUCAUUGGCUUGACAACUCUUUUUGUUUGAGUUUUGGUCCCUUCAGGAAUACUUACUUCUCCAUUCUAAUCUAUUUGAAGAUUUUGAUUUUUUGUUCUUCCAAUUUUUUAUUUUUAAAAUUUCAAUGUCUUAUCCUAUUUGUUCCUUGCCUAUAUGUAAUCUUUGGUCUUCCUCCUGUUAAUGUCCAGCUGAUAUUUCUUUGUUUAUUUUGGAAAAUAUUUCAUGUUCUUCCAUCUUUCCUCUUAUUAUGUGCUCCUAUUUUGAUGAAUGUUAGUAUAUAGAUUCUGGUAUGUCCUGUAUAGUUCAAACUUAUAUCUUCUUCUCAAUUUCUCUUUUUUUUUUCUUCUUUGUAUAUGUGUCAAGAUUCUUCUGCCUAAGUAACCAAUUGGUCGUCUUCACUUUAAGUAAGUAACCAGAUUUCAGAUUCAUAUGUAAAUACUGGAUGUAUUAAGGUUUUGUGCAAUUGACAUUUAGUUUUUCUUGUAAUAUCUUAUCUUGGUUGUUUGAUCGAGCCCUGGUAACUUUAAUUGGCUAUGAACGUAUUGCUAUGUUAGAUGCUAUUUAGCCUGAUUUCAGUGCUUUGUUAUUGUUUAUUUUAUCUACUUGUCUACUGCUAGUCUAUUAUUGUACUUUCACUAUAUAUGUUUUGAAUUUAUAUAGUAAUCUGUCUUUCUCUUCUAUCUAUAUUCCACUAGAAUUUGUUUAUUUAUUCUGAGAAUACAUUAUUGCAUCCUUGUAUAAUGUGAGAUAUAUGUAGUUUCUUUUUUAGUUUACUUCUCAACAUGUAUUUUUUAUAUUUGAUGUUAAAAUAAAUGAGUACGAGUUUUUCUCCUUUUAAAUAAGUGUUUAUUUGACAAAGCAAUAUAAAAUUAAUUACACAUGUAAACAACAAUACAUAAUAUACUAUUUAUGCAGAUGACAUAGUCCUCUUAACAAAUAAAAAAAGUGAAGCUGUUUAGGAAUUUGAAAGGUGAAGUAAUAAAAUUACUUUUACAUCAAUUUCGAAAAGUAAUAUUACCCCUCGUCAAUUUAGAUAGUUGCAAGUGUUAAGUAAUGGUAGCUAUAAAAUUUGGUCUGAUACAUAUUAAGUAUUUUAGGAUAUAUAUAAAAACAAAAUAAGUAAUAAAAUAAUGAUAGUACUCAUCUCAGAAUAAAAUUUAAUCAACGCUGAGGUACCUGCAUAAAAGUACACAAGAAUACAACUAUUACAUUACAAUACAACUGUUUCAAAAUGUUGGGCUGAUAACAAUAUUACCAAUUCGUGACAGUAUUUUAUGGAAGGAUAUUCGUUUGGUUUGAACCCACCUAUUGGAAAAGGUAGACUAAUAAUUAUUCAUAUUGGAUCUGAAAGAGGAUUUAUAAAUGGUGGUUUAUUAAAAUUUACUACAAGAUCCACUGAAGAUUAUCAUGAGGAAAUAGAGCUAUUUCAAGAAUAUUUCUUUCAGAUGGUUAGUAACAUACCUCAAAAUUCUGUCAUAGUAAUUGAUAAUGCUAGUAACCAUUCUCGUUUAAUUGAAAAACUACCGACUUUGGAUUUAUGUAGGCAUUAGAUACUUAAUUAGUUGAAAUGAAAAGAGGUGACAUUUGAUAAUACGAUGGUUAAAAAAGAACUCAUGAAUAGCGUUCAACAACACAAACAAAAGUAUAAAAAUAUGUAAUCGAUGAAAAAGCUAAAGAUGGCGGAAUAACUGUACUUCGUUUAUCCUCAUAUAAUUGUCAACUUAACUACCCUAAAGAGUUCAUAUGGGCACAAGUAAAGGGUGACGUAGCUAGAAACAACAAUGCAUACAACUUAGUUGAUGUGAGAAGAAUUUUACAGGAAACUAUCGAAAGCCACUGCAGAAAAUUGGAAACUAUGUACAUUAUAGAGCAUGCAAAAAAGGAGGAAGAAAA